rnacentral:rRNA from 1 species
UACGAAGGGGGCUAGCGUUGCUCGGAAUGACUGGGCGUAAAGGGCGCGUAGGCGGAUUGCUUUGUCGGGCGUGAAAUUCCAGGGCUUAACCUUGGGGCUGCGUUCGAGACGGGUGAUCUUGAGUUCGGAAGAGGGUCGUGGAAUUCCCAGUGUAGAGGUGAAAUUCGUAGAUACUGGGAAGAACACCGGUGGCGAAGGCGGCGACCUGGUCCGAGACUGACGCUGAGGCGCGAAAGCGUGGGGAGCAAACAGG